UUCUACAGGCUUAACACAUGCAAGUCGAGGGGCAGCAUGGUCUUAGCUUGCUAAGGCCGAUGGCGACCGGCGCACGGGUGAGUAACACGUAUCCAACCUGCCGUCUACUCUUGGACAGCCUUCUGAAAGGAAGAUUAAUACAAGAUGGCAUCAUGAGUCCGCAUGUUCACAUGAUUAAAGGUAUUCCGGUAGACGAUGGGGAUGCGUUCCAUUAGAUAGUAGGCGGGGUAACGGCCCACCUAGUCUUCGAUGGAUAGGGGUUCUGAGAGGAAGGUCCCCCACAUUGGAACUGAGACACGGUCCAAACUCCUACGGGAGGCAGCAGUGAGGAAUAUUGGUCAAUGGGCGAGAGCCUGAACCAGCCAAGUAGCGUGAAGGAUGACUGCCCUAUGGGUUGUAAACUUCUUUUAUAAAGGAAUAAAGUCGGGUAUGGAUACCCGUUUGCAUGUACUUUAUGAAUAAGGAUCGGCUAACUCCGUGCCAGCAGCCGCGGUAAUACGGAGGAUCCGAGCGUUAUCCGGAUUUAUUGGGUUUAAAGGGAGCGUAGAUGGAUGUUUAAGUCAGUUGUGAAAGUUUGCGGCUCAACCGUAAAAUUGCAGUUGAUACUGGAUAUCUUGAGUGCAGUUGAGGUAGGCGGAAUUCGUGGUGUAGCGGUGAAAUGCUUAGAUAUCACGAAGAACUCCGAUUGCGAAGGCAGCCUGCUAAGCUGCAACUGACAUUGAGGCUCGAAAGUGUGGGUAUCAAACAGGAUUAGAUACCCUGGUAGUCCACACGGUAAACGAUGAAUACUCGCUGUUUGCGAUAUACAGCAAGCGGCCAAGCGAAAGCGUUAAGUAUUCCACCUGGGGAGUACGCCGGCAACGGUGAAACUCAAAGGAAUUGACGGGGGCCCGCACAAGCGGAGGAACAUGUGGUUUAAUUCGAUGAUACGCGAGGAACCUUACCCGGGCUUAAAUUGCAGAUGAAUUACGGUGAAAGCCGUAAGCCGCAAGGCAUCUGUGAAGGUGCUGCAUGGUUGUCGUCAGCUCGUGCCGUGAGGUGUCGGCUUAAGUGCCAUAACGAGCGCAACCCUUGUUGUCAGUUACUAACAGGUUCCGCUGAGGACUCUGACAAGACUGCCAUCGUAAGAUGUGAGGAAGGUGGGGAUGACGUCAAAUCAGCACGGCCCUUACGUCCGGGGCUACACACGUGUUACAAUGGGGGGUACAGAGGGCCGCUACCACGCGAGUGGAUGCCAAUCCCCAAAACCUCUCUCAGUUCGGACUGGAGUCUGCAACCCGACUCCACGAAGCUGGAUUCGCUAGUAAUCGCGCAUCAGCCACGGCGCGGUGAAUACGUUCCCGGGCCUUGUACACACCGCCCGUCAAGCCAUGGGAGCCGGGGGUACCUGAAGUGCGUAACCGCGAGGAGCGCCCUAGGGUAAAACUGGUGACUGG
rnacentral:rRNA from 1 species